ensembl:snRNA U2 U2 spliceosomal RNA
AUCGCUUCUCGGCCUUUUGGCUAAGAUCAAGUGUAGUAUAGCAUAACCUAGCAAAAAAAAAUGAUAAUUAACAAAU